GAUGAACGCUGGCGGCGUGCUUAACACAUGCAAGUCGAACGAUGAAGCCCAGCUUGCUGGGUGAAUUAGUGGCGAACGGGUGAGUAACACGUGAGCAACCUGCCCCUGACUCUGGGAUAAGCGCUGGAAACGGUGUCUAAUACUGGAUAUGUCCCAUCACCGCAUGGUGUGUGGGUGGAAAGAUUUUUCGGUUGGGGAUG
rnacentral:rRNA from 1 species